AAAGUACUUCAGACAUUUUUAAAUCACCAUACACAUUCAGGUUGCUAUUAUUACAGUCAGCAACGAUAUGGGAGAUAAUAGUGAUGGCUGAGCAUUUGCAGUGAAUAAUUUAGUGGACAUACCUUACUGUUUUACUUUUUUAAGAGCUUUUUCUAUUGAUUUUUUUAAAAAACAGAGAAGAAGGGAGAGGGAGAUAGAGAAAUAUUGAUGUGAAAGCAAAACAUUGAUCUGCUACCUCCUGCAUGCCCCCUACCAGGAAUUGAGCCUGUAACCUGAGUAUGUGCCCUGAUUGGGAAAUGAACUGGCAACAUUUCGGUGCAAGGGACAAUACCCAACCGAGCCACACCAGCCAGGGCUGUUAUACUUUUUUAAAAAUGAAAUGCUGAUCAUUUGAUAUGUGAUACUGACCACACUGGGAUCACUUGUGCAGUCAACUUUGUAGAGGAGAUGAUGUCCUACUUCCUACAGUGAACAUAAGCCAACAGAAGUUCUUGAAUUCUACUUUGGAUCAUUGAGGAAUCUUCUUGAUAACAGAAAUGUGGGGAGAAAGAAAGUGUUUAAUCAAGCACAAACUGAAUUAAAAUCUCAGUCUUACCAUCUACUUGUUCUAUGAUAUUGGCCUGAAAGCUUUCAGUUCUUCUUCAGCAAAUGAAGCCUUGACCUCUGUAACAAAGAAUUUGGUUUCCGCCAUCCAGCCAAUCUGAAAAUGACUUGUCAACCUAGUACAUGAUCCACAGUCUUAGUUCAUGAAUCCUUUGUGAUGACGACAGAUCCUUAUGUUUGUACUUGUUUUAGUUUAGGUUCCCCCCCCCCCCCGAAGUUGCUUCUCUAUUUUUAAGCACAUAAAAUGUAUUUCAACACUUAACAACACAAGAAGUAUAAUCAAGAGCUGCAAAAAGUUCCAGCUAAAUUUCUCGUUUGAAGUGAUAACCAAGCAUUGCUACACAGGGCUGACUGCAUGGUAGCUUAAUGGUAUGUUGUAAAACCCUUUUCACCAUUAAACAGGAAAGUAAACCUGCCAAAUUACUUUAAAAUACAAAAUUAAUUUCCUUCCACUGUCUCAUUGCCAAAGUCAUUUCAUCCAAUGUUGAAGAUUUAUAAGUUGAAUAUCUUCCUAAAUAUUGAAAGUUAAAUGCUGUGUUCCUAACUGAACCUCAAGUUUUUAUUUCUACAUGAAGAAAAAAAAAAAGAACAAAUAUAGUACUUCUUCAAGUGAUCUCAAUUGUUCAAUAUGUAAGUAAGGUUCUUGGUGAUAUUUUAAGUUCAUUAUUAUUAACCUGGCAGAAACACAGUUUCAUAAUCGAGUACAAUUUUAAUAAAAUCAAACAUUACUACAAUAUUGUAAGUGCCUCAUCUUGACUUUCUUCUAAUCUAUCCAAAUUCAGUGUUUCUGGUAGAACCACUUGAGUUCACAUUAGAUUUAUUUCACACUAUAAAAGCACAAUUCAUUAAACAGACUAGUCUAUUUAAAACAAAGGCAAUUUUAUCACAGUCAAUUCAAUUAUUUAACACCGCUUUUUUAACUCACUACUUAAAGUUUUCUUUUGACAAAUAUUUCUUUAAAUAAAUGAGUUGUAAUUUAAAGAAAAAAAGAUCAAGUGACACUAUAUGCAAUUAGCCUAUAGGAAGAUGUUUUUCUUUUAAUAUAAUCUAUUUUUUU